AAUAUUUUAACAAAUUUUUUUAUUUUUCAUAAAAGUAUUUUCUAAAUUUUCUUUAAAUUGUUUAUUAACAAUUACCCAUUGGGUAACUUACGGGACCCGAUUAUAAAAAAUAAAUGAAGUUGUUGGAGGCAUGGAGAAUUCCGGCUGCUUUAACAACAACAGUUUUUCGCCUCAACAAGUGGUGACGUUGGCUAAAACAGAGUAAGCCAGAAGUACCCAAAAACCAAAAUACAGAAACAGAGAAUCAUGGCAGAGGAAGGAAAAGCAGAUGAGCAAUUAUUUCAGCUCCUCUCCAGUCUCCUCCACCAGGAAUUAGAGUGAAUAAUCAUCUAGGUAUGCCUUGAUAAGCUUCUGGUUACAGCUUUCUCUCAAAAUUAUGAUCUGGGUAUUAAUGGUCUCGGCAAAGUUUGUAAAUUUCUGCAUUGGAUUUGGUGAUCUUUAAGUCAAAUUUCACUUGUUGAAGCAUAUUUUUCCUAAUAAAUUGGGGAAAGUUUGUAAUAUGUUGCCAUUGUAAUCUCCCCCCUCCCCCUUAUAUUUUCAUUGUAAUUGAUUUGUUACUAUUUCUUUCUUGUCUUGUGUGGUCUUUUGGAAACAAUUUUCAGCAUAUGAUUAGGUUAAUAGGAAUGAAUUUCGCAUAAUCACGCUCUUGUCUA